rnacentral:rRNA from 1 species
GCGGGGGGUAGAUCAACAGGGAUUGCCUCAGUAACGGCGAGUGAAGCGGCAAAAGCUCAAAUUUUAAAGCUGGCACCUUCGGUGUCCGCGUUGUAAUUUUGUGAGGCAUCUCCGGGUAGGGCGCCGGCCUAAGUUCCUUGGAACAGGACGUCAUAGAGGGUGAGAAUCCCGUGCUUGGCUGGCUGUCCCCGUCCAUGUGAGGUGUCUUCGACGAGUCGAGUUGUUUGGGAAUGCAGCUCAAAAUGGGUGGUAAAUUUCAUCUAAAGCUAAAUAUUGGUGGGAGACCGAUAGCGCACAAGUAGAGUGAUCGAAAGAUGAAAAGCACUUUGAAAAUAGAGUUAAAAAGUACGUGAAAUUGUUGAAAGGGAAGCGCUUGAGACCAGACUUCGGUGGGGGGUGAUCAGCUGUCCUUCUGGGCGGUGCACUUGCUCCCCUCCGGGCCAGCAUCGGUUGGGGCGGCGGGAUAAAGAUCCCGGGAAUGUGGCUCCUUUCGGGGAGUGUUAUAGCCCGGGUGAAUGCCGCCAGUUCCGACCGAGGACCGCGCCUUCGGGCUAGGAUGCUUGGCAUAAUGGUCUUCAGCGACCCGUCUUGAAACACGGACCAAGGAGUCUAACAUCUAUGCGAGUGUUUGGGUGUCAAACCCUUACGCGAAAUGAAAGUGAACGGAGGUGGGAACCCGCAAGGGCGCACCAUCGACCGGUCCUGAAGUCUUCUGAAGGAUCUGAGUAGGAGCAUAGCUGUUGGGACCCGAAAGAUGGUGAACUAUGCCUGAAUAGGGUGAAGCCAGAGGAAACUCUGGUGGAGGCUCGCAGCGGUUCUGACGUGCAAAUCGAUCGUCAAAUUUGGGUAUAGGGGCGAAAGACUAAUCGAACCAUCCUAGGUUGCCU